rnacentral:rRNA from 1 species
UACGUAGGGUGCAAGCGUUAAUCGGAAUUACUGGGCGUAAAGCGUGCGCAGGCGGUUGUGCAAGACAGAUGUGAAAUCCCCGGGCUUAACCUGGGAAUUGCAUUUGUGACUGCACGGCUAGAGUGUGUCAGAGGGGGGUAGAAUUCCACGUGUAGCAGUGAAAUGCGUAGAGAUGUGGAGGAAUACCGAUGGCGAAGGCAGCCCCCCUGGGAUAACACUGACGCUCAUGCACGAAAGCGUGGGGGAGCAAACAGG